rnacentral:rRNA from 1 species
CCUACGGGCGGCAGCAGUGGGGAAUAUUGCACAAUGGGGGAAACCCUGAUGCAGCGACGCAGCGUGAGUGAAGAAGUAUUUCGGUACGUAAAGCUCUAUCAGCAGGGAAGAAAAUGACGGUACCUGACUAAGAAGCCCCGGCUAACUACGUGCCAGCAGCCGCGGUAAUACGUAGGGGGCAAGCGUUAUCCGGAUUUACUGGGUGUAAAGGGAGCGUAGACGGCAGCGCAAGUCUGGAGUGAAAGCCCAUGGCUUAACCAUGGAACUGCGUUGGAAACUGUGCAGCUAGAGUGCAGGAGAGGUAAGCGGAAUUCCUAGUGUAGCGGUGAAAUGCGUAGAUAUUAGGAGGAACACCAGUGGCGAAGGCGGCUUACUGGACUGUAACUGACGUUGAGGCUCGAAAGCGUGGGGAGCAAACAGGAUUAGAUACCCUGGUAGUC